UACGUAGGGUGCGAGCGUUAAUCGGAAUUACUGGGCGUAAAGCGUGCGCAGGCGGCUUCGCAAGUCAGACGUGAAAUCCCCGGGCUUAACCUGGGAAUGGCGUUUGAAACUACGGAGCUGGAGUGUGGCAGAGGGAGGUGGAAUUCCACGUGUAGCGGUGAAAUGCGUAGAGAUGUGGAGGAACACCAAUGGCGAAGGCAGCCUCCUGGGCCAAUACUGACACUCAUGCACGAAAGCGUGGGGAGCAAACAGG
rnacentral:rRNA from 1 species